rnacentral:rRNA from 1 species
UCUGAUGGUACCGUCUCCAGAAGCCUAGCUUCCUUUUCAACCCAUCUGACAGUAGUUUACAGGGCGAAGCCCCUUCGUCCUACACGCGGCAUUGCUGGUUCAGGCUUGCGCCCAUUGACCAAUAUUCCUCACUGCUGCCUCCCGUAG